GCCAGGCUGGGGUCCGUGCCAUUUACAAGUCACAACACCAAGCUAAAAGUGCCUGAUCAUGUCAUCUAAACAUACACAGUGCAAGGCAACAAUGACAGCCCAUACUCCAUUAAGCCGUACCUGAGGGAGAACUACCGGACCCUCAGGACCCUCAGGACCCUCGUCUCUCCCAAGAUGCACCAUGUCAAGUUCACCAAGACACAAAGACCCUGCAGAUGCAAAGUUACAUCAGACAGGCAGGCGCAGGGCUGAGUGUGUGCCUGUGCACCCUGACGGCCUCCAAGCGUUAGGAGGCGCUGCACUCGUGGGCGUCAUUGCUGAGCCGCUACCCAGACUUCCUGUGCCUCCCCACCUUUCCCGAGGCCUGCAGCACCUACAGCUGGACCUGGAGCGGCCGCCUCGACAUGCUGGA